AACUUUUGGCAAUGGAUCUCUUGGCUCUCGCAUCGAUGAAGAACGCAGCGAAAUGCGAUACGUAAUGUGAAUUGCAGAAUUCCGUGAAUCAUCGAAUAUUUGAACGCACCUUGCGCCUCUUGGUAUUCCGAGGGGCAUGCCUGUUUGAGUGUCAUUGAAUCCUCAAAAGAACAGCUUAACUGUUUCUCGUUUGGAAUUGGAGUGUGCUGGCCUUUUGUUAGAAAGCCCAGCUCCUCUGAAAUACAUUAGCGAUGUGACAUCCGCAUGGCACCACGCUUCUCUGGCAUUGAUAGUAUCUUCAUGCCUGAGCGUGUCGUGCAGCUGUGGAAAGUUUCGCUUGCUCAUAGCCGAUGAUGGGUCAGCCCAUCCUUUGACCAAUUUAACCUCAAAUCAGGUAGGAUUACCCGCUGAACUUAAGCAUAUCAAUAAGCGGAGGCU
rnacentral:misc_RNA from 1 species